AACGAACGCUGGCGGCGUGCUUAACACAUGCAAGUCGAACGCGAACGGGUUCUUCGGGACCUUAGUAGAGUGGCGCACGGGUGAGUAACGCGUAAGUUAUCUACCUCGGCAUCUGGAAUAACUCACCGAAAGGUGUGCUAAUACCGGAUACGUUGAGUAAUCAAGAAAGGUGGCCUCUGAAUAUGCUACCGUGCUGAGAUGAGCUUGCGUACCAUUAGCUAGUUGGUAGGGUAAUGGCCUACCAAGGCGACGAUGGUUAGCGGGUCUGAGAGGAUGAUCCGCCACACUGGAACUGGAACACGGACCAGACUCCUACGGGAGGCAGCAGUGAGGAAUAUUGCGCAAUGGGGGCAACCCUGACGCAGCGACGCCGCGUGGAUGAUGAAGGCCUUCGGGUCGUAAAAUCCUGUCAGGUGGAAAGAAAUGUAUAUGUGCUAAUACCAUGUAUACUUGACGGUACCACCGAAGGAAGCACCGGCUAACUCCGUGCCAGCCGCCGCCGUAA
rnacentral:rRNA from 1 species